GGAGUUUAUAAUCAAAGAAUACUCGCCUUUUCCAGAAUGCCAGAAGCCCAAAGCAAAGACAUCUAACCUUAUGCUGAAGCUGAAAGUCAUACCAUUUCUGCAUUUUAUUACGUUUUUGAUGAAGUGGUGGCUGAUAUUUUACAAGAAUCCGUGGUUUUUAUUUUCAUAGAUUGGACGUUAAUCAAGCUGAAGAGUUGGACGAAUGUUUCGACUGGAAGCUGAAUGAAUUGAUAUGGUCUCCAUCAGGGCUCUAAGCUUUGCUUUCCAUUUGGUUUGUCUCUAUCCCUGGUGAUUAUCCACUUACAAGGAGGUGCUGCUCGUAUUUCAACGAAUUGUCGUUGAUUUGAUGUGAAUGGAAUGGAAUGGACCAACGUGGGUUCCUCUAGUGGGAGAUUUUCUCAAACAAACUUGUUCUCAGCUCAUGAAUUCGGUUGUUUUGGAUUCCAAAUCCCUGAAGCUUCUGGAUGUGUUGAUGGAGAUCCUCUCAAAUGAAUCCUCUGCCAGAAGGGAAAUCCAGCUCAUGUGAUGUCCAUUCGUUGGGGAGAAGAACAAACCACCCUUUAUAAGAGUGUGGAAACCUUCCCCUAGCAGACGCGUUUAGCCUUUUGGAGAAGCUCGAAAGAGAAAGUUCAAAGAGGACAAUAUCUGCUAGCGGUGGAUCUGGAUCGUUACAGUUCAGCUCUAUGAUAUUACUGCUGUGGUAGUGUUUCACCCAAGGGAGGCAGUCUCUCUGGCACCUCAUGAUGCCUCUUCAUCUUUUUAGGUAAGUUCAUUUAUCAGCUUUAUUUCUUUAGGUUUCUCAUUCGGCUUGCCUUCAAAAAGUGUACUGAUUACACAUAGCAAAAAUGAUUUUUUUGUGAAGACUCUGGGGAUUAGGUAUUGGCCAAAAACAUAAUGAUUUGAAAACAUAUAUCUUGGUUAUCUCAUUCCCCAAAUUUUGAGGCUGGUAGUACAGACAAUCUUGAAACUAAAUGUAGGUUAAGCACUAUGAAAUUAGUCGCACAAGGUGACACAAACAUUAUACCGUAGACUUCAUGAAAAUAAGUUCAAAUCAUAGUGAGCACCCACUUAGAAUUUAAUAUUGUUAGAGUAGUCUUGGUAAUAAAUGUUGCGGGGUUAGAUAGUUGUCCGAUGAGAUCAGUGGAGUGCAAGUUGACCCGAACACUCGUGAAUAUAAAAAAUAAAUGAAUAAAUUUCUGAAUUUAACAAAACACAAAGAAAAUAGUUAAAGCUAAAAAAAACUUGCCACCUCAAGUAUCAUACCAA